AACAUUAAAAUAAAUAGUUUAAUUUAAUUCUCGCAUGGAAGUGUAAAUAAAUUAGAAAACUUAGAGGUAUUUUUUAAUGGAUACUUCUCUUUUCAUAAUAUAGAUGUAUAAUGAAUGUAUGUAUAUACACGACAUGAUAUAAAUGCUCGGUUUAAACUGUUACCUUAUAUGGAUAUCGGCUUAAUACCGACCCGGCCCAUAUUCCAAAACGUUGGGCAUUAAGUCCCAUUCGGUAUUUUCAACUGAUCCAUUACCGAUCCAGACCCACGAGUUCGGUUUGGGCUAGGGUGUGGGCUUCGGGUUCAGUAUAAUACGCCCAGGCCUACUUCUAAUCGUCCAAGGUAGUCUUUUUGCCUGCCAAAAUAAACCAAGAACAUGUGAGAAGCUGCUUGUUACUUUACUAUCAAGAUUCAAGGCACAUCAAUAACAAACUAACGUACCUGAGGAAAUGUAACUAGGUUUGCUGAAUCCACGGCCACCACCAUUGUCUCUUCCUCUGCCACCACCGCUACUUCCACCACCACCAAAAUGACCACCGCCACCACAAAAAGGACCACCGCCACCACCACUGAAUCCACCGCCACUGCUAUCCCUCGAUUUAGCUUCAUCGACAAGAAUAUUCCAUCCUCCCAACUCAGUACCAUUAAGGUCAUACGCCUUCUCUGCGCCUUCCUUAAAGUCAAUGUACGCAAUUCUGCAUUUAACAUAAACACCUAUUAAAAUAAAAUUAUUUAUUCAUAUGAUUUUAUAAUCAUUGUAUCUUAUAAUAGAAAAAAUUUAAACCUUGAUCACAAAAGUUUAUGUGAGACUUUUAACAGUUUUAGUAUUUUAUACUCCUUUUGAAAUAUUCAAAAUACAACAUAUACAAAAAAAUCUAAAUUUUUGUUAUAUGAUUAAUGUAAUUGUGUAAUUUGUUUUAAUAAGAAAUAAUUAAACAAAAGUGAUAGAAAGUAUACCGAUUGUUAGCAAAUAUUUAUUAUUUAAAUCAUUAAUUGUCAUAUAUAUCUUAAUCACGUUAGGUAAUUUCGUAGGUUUUAUUUAAGAAAAAAUAUAAAAUAAUUUUAAUUUGAUAAAUGAAUGGUCCAUAGUGGACGUACUAUAUAAUAUAACAUUUUCUAGCAAUUUAAUUUUGGACUAACAAAAUUCUCAAUUGAUUCUCAAGCCGCCACGUAAGCAAAAUUAGCUUCCAGUUACGUGAUAACUCAGUAUGACACUUUUUUAAUUAAUACAAACUACAUGUUAUAAUUUUUUAAAUGUUCCUAUUAAUAUAUAGGGGAUUUCAUUUCAAAAUUAUCAUUAGGAUUAAGUUAUUAAUAGAUACAAGUUACUGAAACAAGUAAUUAAUACAUCUAUUUAUCUAUCUAUCUAUUACAAUAAAAUAGGAUAUUCUCGAUUCUCGUGUCUCCACUUCACUCUUGCAUAUCUGAAAAACUGACACGUGUCAUAGUGUUUUUAAUGCUCGAAAUGUUUUCUUGCAAAGAUUUGAUUAUUGGACUAACUAUUGAAUCUGAUAAAUGCAAUGGGCUCUUAAAAACUUUUGAGAAAAGACCCAUAUGAGUCAUCCUCUCCAAAACCCUAAUUUUCCACUUAUUCUGGCAGAGAGAAUAUCAGAGUAACAGCUCUGAUUCACUUCAAGAGGUAGCCAUUAAGCUCACAUUUAAUCUCAGUUAACGCCAGAACCAACUAAGUCACGUUAAUCGCUCCACACCGCCCUCUUCAUCUUCUUCGCAGUCUCUACCCUAUAAAUGGCAUCUUCGGCCACAUGGUUUCCAGAAUCAUCUCUCUUUUCCACUCAACAUAUAUACACGGACCUCCGAGAGAGAUGGUGACGUCCCAGAUAUCGUUUUCCAAAUUAAAGCUCGGAGAUUGCAGCUUAACCGUUGUCACACUCCUUUUCCGAUGAGGUGAUUCUCGCUUGGAUACGUCAGAGAUUUACCCAGCAAUCGGGAACCAAAGAGCUGACAGUUACUUUCAUCAUCUCGGAACAUUCUUCCAUCACUGUAGAUGACCAGCCAGCGACUGAGACACAGCGUUUCCACUCAUUGGAAGAUUUCGAAGCGAACUACGGGCUGACAGGGGACCUCUUAUUCAUAGUUAAACAUGAUUGUUUAUCCCUCAGCCACAGAUUAACCACCCUUUCCUGGGAUAAUUUUUUCCACACAUAUGUAGAUGUCGUCGGGAACAUAAAGCUAAGCAACGGGCACCAACAACGUCCGAUUACUGAUUCUCGAGAGCAUGGACAGGUCAACGACUCGAGGUCUUGGUCAACCUAUAGCCUAGAGAGGCCCAGUUGAAGGUUACCGUGGGACCAGGCUGCUGAAGAUAGCAGUCGGAAGUUUGACGGAAGUCUACAAAUUCAUAUCGUCCUAUCAAUCUUAUUUUCAAUCAAAUAUCAUGUUAUGUAUUGGUUCCCGAUUUACGGUUGAUCAGGAUGGAGCAGGAGUAACAUGAUAUUUUGUUCUAAAUGGAACUGUAAAAUCGCUCUUUACAAUUUUGUGUUCCAUGAGCUGCUCUAUCUCUUAAGCAAUGUUUUCCUCUGAAAAAAUGGAGAUUUCACUUUAAUCUUCAGAUUCUCUCA